GGCUCAAUGGUCUAGUCGUAUGAUUCCUGCUUUGGGUGUUACGCCGUUGCAGGAGGUCUCGGGUUCAAUUCCCGAUUGAGCCC